UACAGGGGGGGCGAGCGUUGUUCGGAAUUACUGGGCGUAAAGGGUUCGUAGGUGGCUGACUAAGUCAGACGUGAAAUCCCUCAGCUUAACUGGGGAACUGCGUCUGAGACUGGAGAGCUUGAGUGCAGGAGAGGAACGCGGAAUUCCAGGUGUAGCGGUGAAAUGCGUAGAUAUCGAGAGGAACACCUGCGGCGAAGGCGGGUAGCUGGGCCGACACUGACGCUGAUGCGCGAAAGCCAGGGGAGCGAACGGG
rnacentral:rRNA from 1 species